UACGGGGGGAGCAAGCGUUGUUCGGAUUUACUGGGCGUAAAGGGCGCGUAGGCGGUCAGCACAAGUCAGUUGUGAAAUCUCCGGGCUUAACUCGGAAAGGUCAACUGAUACUGUGCGACUAGAGUGCAGAAGGGGCAACUGGAAUUCUCGGUGUAGCGGUGAAAUGCGUAGAUAUCGUCAGGAACGCCAAUGGUGAAGACAGGUAACUGGGCUAGUUCUGACACUGAGGCACGAAAGCGUGGGGAGCGAACGGG
rnacentral:rRNA from 1 species